AUGUGCCAUCAUAUCUCUUCUACUACCUGGAUUUUCACAGGGCCACGUCACCAGAAUGAAAGCUCAGCGUUACAGCCCCAUGACCAUGGGCCCUCUCUCCAAACAUAUGGUGGAAUCCCAUUUUCCUAUAAAUUAACAGUUUAUUUCCUUCUAUUUUUCUUUUUCUUUUUUAUUUUUUUAUAUUCUUAUAAUAAGCUAAAACUUAUUAUAUUCGUUCUUUUUAAUUUAUUGUUAGAACAUACAUUGUUAGACUACUAACAUUAGAAGGAAAAUUAAUAUUAUUGUCACAUGGCUUUAGAAUAACUUGUAAGGAACUCAUGAAAUGGCUCUUAUUUUUAGAAUAACAGAUUUACAUUACAGAACAUUAGUUGGCCAUCAUGCUCACAGUAUGUAUCUUCUGUCUAAUAAGCCGAGGAUAUGUUGCUGCUGCUGUUUUUCUAUGUUCUUAUAUCAAGACUAAAAAUAAAACUACUUAAUCUUUCAAAUCUUAUGGCUUCCUCAACAGUUCAAAUAUACUAGUAGAGGAGUUUGAAGGGCGUUUUUAAAGAGGCAAGUAAUUAAUGUUUCUGUCACCUCAAACCUCUCAAAUGUGAGAAUGAAAUGACAAUAUUACAAUACACUUCUAUAUUAUCCUAAAAUGGAAAAUAAUAACGCGUUUAGGUAAUGGUAUUUUAUGAGGAAAAUAAAGAAGAAAAUAAUCAACAAUAUAUAUAUAUUAUAUUUCACAGCCAAAAAUGUAUUGGUUCUUUACUAGGGUUGCACAUGUUUCUGGUGUGAUCCAUUUCUCCAUGUUAGGAUCCCAGUUACUCAGAGUUCCUCCCCCAGAGACCUGGGGCCAGCUCAGUUUUAGGGACAUGCUGACCAUGUAGCCAGGCAUGAUUCAGAUGUGUUCAGAUGUGUGCUGAUAAUGUAGAAAGAAGAGGAAUUAGAGGUAUGAUAUGACUUUUGAGCAAUGAAGAAUUUCUCAAAGCUUUUGAAAAUAUAUAUUUAAACUGAAUAACAAUGAUAUUGAUGAUAAUAAUAAUUCCUAUUAUUAUUAUUGUUGUUGUUGUUGUUAGCAGUAGUAUUAUUGUUAUUGCUGCUGUUUUAAUUAUUUAUAACGAGAACAAAUACAAGUGUCCACUAUGUAUUCCAAAUCCGGUCAUAGUAAAAAUAAAAAAAAGUAAAGUAUCCAUCUGUAUGCUUGUGAUUUGUUUUAUUAUGUUUCACUGUUUAAACAUUUACAUUUAAAGAUAUUAACAAACUGACUAUGAAUCAAACCACCUGAACUCAGCUUAGAGCUGCCUGUCCUACAUCAGGAGGCAGAUGUGGAGACUGGCAGACAGUGAUGGAUCUAUAGUGGGCAUACAUACAUACAUACAUACAUGCAUACAUACAUACAUACAUACAUACAUACAUACAUACAUACAUACAUACAUACAUACAUACAUACAUACAUACAUACAUACAUACAUACAUACACGGGCGGGCAGACAGACAGACAGACAGACAGACAGACAGACAGACAGACAGACAGACAGACAGACAGACAGACAGACAGAUAGACAGAUAGAUAGAUAGAUAGAUAGAUAGAUAGAUAGAUAGAUAGAUAGAUAGAUAGAUAGAUAGAUAGAUCUCCUAAGUGGCUGUACUGUAAAGAACCACAGCAAAAAGUUGAUCACACACUCAAGUGUCAGGUUUUUGCCCCUGAGUUUCAGUGAUGUGAAAGUGUUUUUAAAAAUAAAUGAAGGCCA
rnacentral:lncRNA from 1 species